UAUGCUUAACAUAUGCAAGUCGGACGGGAAGUGGUGUUUCCAGUGGCGGAUGGGUGAGUAACGCGUAAGAACCUCCUCUUGGGAGGGGAACAACAGCUAGAAACGGCUGCUAAUACCCCGUUGGCUAAGGAGCAAAAGGAGGAAUCCGCCUGAGGAGGGGCUUGCAUCUGAUUAGCUAAUUGGUGAGGCAAUAACUUACCAAGGUGAUGAUCAAUAGCUGGUCUGAGAGGAUGAUCAACCACACUGGGACCGAGACACGGCCCAGGCCCCUACGGGAGGCAGUAAUGGAGAAUUUUCCGCAAUGGGCAAAAACCUGACGGAGCAAUG
rnacentral:ncRNA from 1 species